rnacentral:tRNA from 1 species
GGGGUUGUGGCUUAUCGGUAAAGCACUCAUCUCGCACAUGUGAGACCCUGGGUUCGAUCCUCAGCACCA